rnacentral:lncRNA from 1 species
GGCUGAGCUUAUUGGAGAGUCUGGAAGAGGCCUUUGGAUUCUUUUCUCUAGCUUUGAGGGGCUGCUUCCCUGUUUUUACACUAAUGCUCUGCUUCAGCACAAGUGGACAACUGAAUUGAAGGAUCAACAAGAAGAGCUGCUAGUUAGGUCUUAUCAGGUGGCUUUUUUCCUGUCAAGGCUCUCAAGCUGCAGAGAGAUUUUGCAAGGAUGGGG